ACCUCUAGAUUAAAGAUUAAGGGGACCCAACCAACACAGAGAAACCAACUAAGGUAGGGACAGAUAGAGGGGGGUACCUACAUUCAGAAGGAAAAGGUUCCAACGCAGAAACAGGUAGGGACAGAUAGAGAAUGAAGAGUGAGGGAAAGAGGGGUAGGUAGAGGCCAGCUAGACUACAGUAGAGAUGGGUAGGUAGAGGCCAGCUAGACUACAGUAGAGAUGGGUAGGUAGGGGCCAGCUAGACUGCAGUAGAGAUGGGUAGGUAGAGGCCAGCUAGACUGCAGUAGAGAGGGGUGGUAGAGGCCAGCUAGACUACAGUAGAGAUGGGUAGGUAGAGGCCAGCUAGACUACAGUAGAGAGGGGUAGGUAGAGGCCAGCUAGACUACAGUAGAGAUGGGUAGGUAGAGGCCAGCUAGACUACAGUAGAGAUGGGUAGGUAGAGGCCAGCUAGACUACAGUAGAGAGGGGUAGGUAGAGGCCAGCUAGACUACAGUAGAGAUGGGUAGGUAGAGGCCAGCUAGACUAAAAAAAUCCACCACACAGAGAGCCAUAGACAGAGAGACUGACAGGCACUCCCACAGUAAGACACACACACUUGCAAUACAUAGAGCUUUGUGUAGAUGGCGCUGUUACACUAGUCAGACUCCGACACUACCAGUAAGGGAUUAACAGUCAGUGAGGGACAGGCAGCGUGUUGGGGACAGACAGGUAGGUGUCUAGUCUCUGUUUAGCUGUUUUUUUCCGGGGUAAAGGAUCUUCUAUAUGAAUGAAUAUUCCUCCUGUUGUUACUCGAUCACUGGUUCACUGCUGAUCUCUCCUCCACCAAGCAUGUUUUGGUUUCUGUCCUUUCCCUAAGGAAUGCUUUCUUCAUAUAACUAUCAUGAGAGAAUUCUCAUGUUCUCUUCUAGAUAGCCGGGGAUAACUAACCUCUUAGUUCAUACGAGUCAUCAUUAUAAGAGGGAGAGAAAUAGGGCUUAAAUAAUACCUGUUAUUCUUACGUAAAGUUAGGAAACUACAGGAUCACAGUCUCUCGCCUCUAGUUGUACCUGUUUGUGUGUCGUGUCUGAGUUUGUUUACCUAUUGUUUACCCUACAUGACACUGUUGAUUGUUUUAAUAAGGUAACGAUUUAACACUUGACUCCUCCCACCCUAUUGUCCUCCACCUGUAAACUCUGGCCAACUGUGUGUGUGUGUGCCAUAGUGAUAUCUUGAGGAAAGAGAUUAAACCCAGAAUUGUUUAUCCUGAUAACGUGUUACAAGAGGUCCAUAUUUUGUUGCUUUUUGUUUAUUAUUUUUUUAUUUGCUGCUACUGUUUUUUUUAGUUUCCAUGGUGAGCUUAAAUGAACACAAACAAAACAUUUGUUUAUUUUUAGUUUUGUGGUUUUGCACUUUUAAUUUUUUAUUUUUGUAUUAAGGAUUUUUUUAAACUUAAAGGACAUCUGAAUUCUACCGUC